rnacentral:rRNA from 1 species
CCUACGGGGGGCAGCAGUGAGGAAUAUUGGUCAAUGGGCGGGAGCCUGAACCAGCCAAGCCGCGUGAGGGAAGAAGGUACAGCGUAUCGUAAACCUCUUUUGUCAGGGAACAAAGGCUGGGACUAGUCCCCGGAUGAGGGUAGCUGAAGAACAAGCCUCGGCAAACUCCGUUCCAGCAGCCGCGGUAAUACGGGGGAUGCGAGCGUUAUCCGGAUUUCUUGGGGUAAAAGGGGGCGCGGGCGGCAUGUGAAGUCAGCGGUAAAAGCCCGGGGCUCAACCCCGGCGAGCCGUGGAAACUGGCGGGCUGGAGUUGGAGAGAGGUAAGCGGAAUGCGCGGUGUAGCGGUGAAAUGCUUAGAUA